rnacentral:rRNA from 1 species
GAUCCUGGCUCAGGAUGAACGCUAGCGGCAGGCUUAAUACAUGCAAGUCGUGGGGCAGCAGGUUUGUAGCAAUACAGAUGCUGGCGACCGGCAAACGGGUGCGGAACACGUACAGAACCUUCCUUUGAGCGGGGAAUAGCCCAGAGAAAUUUGGAUUAAUACCCCAUAGUAUAAUGAAGUGGCAUCACUUUAUUAUUAAAGAUUUAUCACUCGAAGAUGGCUGUGCGGCUGAUUAGGUAGUUGGCGGGGUAAAGGCCCACCAAGCCUGCGAUCAGUAACUGGUGUGAGAGCACGACCAGUCACACGGGCACUGAGACACGGGCCCGACUCCUACGGGAGGCAGCAGUAAGGAAUAUUGGUCAAUGGAGGCAACUCUGAACCAGCCAUGCCGCGUGGAGGAUGAAGGUCCUCUGGAUUGUAAACUUCUUUUAUAUGGGACGAAAAAGGCUUUUCUAAGUCGUCUGACGGUACCAUAUGAAUAAGCACCGGCUAACUCCGUG